AGGGGUAUGGAAAAUACGCGAUUCUUUAGAAGCUGUUUGCACCAAUCUGCACCUUUCCCUGUGAAACAGUUUGUUACAUGGCUCAUUUGGGGCAUCCUGGUUUUGCUCAGCGUUACUGACCUUUCUUCUUUCCACACCAACGUCAAUGACAAAUGUUACGUUCUUAAUCCGAACCAAAGAUCCUCCAGAGCUUGUGAUUUAAUCGUAUCCGAACCAACCUCCAGGGGAAGACAGAUGUGCAUCAGUGUAGUAUGGGAACGCUGAGGAUGAGAAGUUAUUAAAUGGCCCCUAAACUUUAUGCAUAUGCAACAUGGAGGAUGGAUCCACGUUCAUGAUUUAGGUCUAAAGAGAGGGUUUGUUUGCUAAAAAAUGGUCUUGUGUGCAGGGCUGGGAGUUCUGUAGCAGAUACUCCAGUGCCCCACUGGUGUCCCCUUUCCAGCUAGACCCAAAGCUGUGGAUGUGGCCGUGUCCCCAGGGGUGGCUGCCUCUGGGCACAGCGCUUGGGCAGAGCUCUUGCUUGGGUCGCAACAAGUCGUUUAGAGGUUAUAUGAAAACACAGAUGAGAAUCCUUUUUUUUGAUUGAAACCAUCAAUGCUGGAGCCUGUCAAUCACUCACUUGUUCGCAUGCCAGGAAGAUGACGAUGUCACCCUUCUCCUUCGUAUGGUGUAGCUCAAAGAGCAGCCUCAGUGCAGACAGAAAAUGGUCCUUUGGCAUGCUGCAGGUGUACACCACCUCUGCCUGGUGCUCAUUUUCCACCCGGAUGAGGGGGACGCUGCCACAGAAGUCCUGCAGCUUGCUGGACAUGUGGGGGGCAGUGAGUAUCACCAGCCUGAGGGCUGGUCUCGCUCUCAAGACAUGUUUAAGAACACCAAGCAGCACAUCAGUGGGAACAGUUCUUUCAUGCACAUCAUCCAGAAUGAUAACUCCAUAAGAGUUCAGAAGAGGAGCAGACAUCAUUUCCCUCUGCAGCAUAUCAUCUGUGCAGUAUCUGUGCCAUACAAAUGGAAAACUGUGAAAAGUUUCAGGGAAUAUUCAGGUUUGACUGCAUAAAAUUAAUUCAGGGUCUUGAGGACAGCUUUGCUCUUUCUGUUCUAACAAGAAAGAUUUGAUAAGAACAGAUACUGUCUAUUUUGUAGGCUACCACAGUCUCAGCAAUCUAAAUUCUUUUUUAAGUGUCUGAAAAAUCAAUGAAAGUCAGUGUUGCUAAAUGGCAUUAUAGUUGAAAGGACAGGAUGCUCAAGGCAAAAGAAGAAAUAAUUCCCCCCUAAGACCAUAACUUACCUUUCUUUUCAUCUUCCAAACUUUCUAAGCAUAUUGCAUGCUGCAACAAAUCCUUGUGCUGUGAAGUAGUACUUUGAGAUAAGGAAAUGAAGGUAUGC
rnacentral:lncRNA from 7 species